CCAAUAGCGUAUAUUAAAGUUGUUGCAGUUAAAAAGCUCGUAGUUGAAUUUCGGAGUUUAUCGGUUGGUCGGGCUUCACUGUCCGCACUGACCUGAUGGAUUCCUACCUUCUGAAUAACCAGCAUGCUAUUAAGUUAGUGCGUUGGGGAAGCAGAGCUAUUACCUUGAAAAAAUUAGAGUGCUUAAAGCAGGCUUAUGCUUGAAUAGAUUAGCAUGGAAUAAUAAAAUAGGACGGCAUGGUUCUAUUUUGUUGGUUUCUAGGAUCACCGUAAUGAUUAAUAGGGAUAGUUGGGGGCAUUAGUAUUCAAGUGUCAGAGGUGAAAUUCUUUGAUUUAUUGAAGACUAACUUCUGCGAAAGCAUUUGCCAAGGAUGUUUUCAUUAAUCAAGAACGAAAGUUAGGGGAUCGAAGACGAUCAGAUACCGUCGUAGUCUUAACCAUAAACUAUGCCGACUAGGGAUCGGACGAUGUUAAUUUUUUAAUGACUCGUUCGGCGCCUUACG
rnacentral:misc_RNA from 1 species